rnacentral:rRNA from 1 species
AACGAACGCUGGCGGCAGGCUUAACACAUGCAAGUCGAACGGGUGUAGCAAUACAUCAGUGGCAGACGGGUGAGUAACACGUGGGAACCUUCCUAGGGGUACGGAACAACUCAGGGAAACUUGAGCUAAUACCGUAUACGUCCGUGAGGAGAAAGAUUUGUCGCCCUUAGACGGGCCUGCGUGGGAUUAGCUAGUUGGUGGGGUAACGGCCUACAAAGGCGACGAUCCGUAGCUGAUCUUAGAGGAUGAUCAGCCACCCUGGGACUGAGACACGGCCCAGACUCCUACGGGAGGCAGCAGUGGGGAAUCUUGGACAAUGGGCGCAAGCCUGAUCCAGCCAUGCCGCGUGAGUGAAGAAGGUCUUCGGAUUGUAAAUCUCUUUUGCCAGGGACGAUAAUGACGGUACCUGGAGAAUAAGCCCCGGCAAACUUCGUGCCAGCCGCCGCAGUAA